rnacentral:rRNA from 1 species
UACGGAGGGUGCAAGCGUUGUUCGGAUUUACUGGGCGUAAAGGGCGCGUAGGCGGCCUGUGCAAGUCAGUUGUGAAAUCUCCGGGCUUAACUCGGAACGGUCAACUGAUACUGCUCGGCUAGAGUGCGGAAGGGGCAACUGGAAUUCUUGGUGUAGCGGUGAAAUGCGUAGAUAUCAAGAGGAACACCUGCGGCGAAGGCGGGUUGCUGGGCCGACACUGACGCUGAUGCGCGAAAGCUAGGGGAGCGAACGGG